rnacentral:rRNA from 1 species
UGGGGAAUAUUGGACAAUGGGCGCAAGCCUGAUCCAGCCAUGCCGCGUGAGUGAUGAAGGCCCUAGGUUUGUAAAGCUCUUUCACCGGUGAAGAUAAUGACGGUAACCGGAGAAGAAGCCCCGGCUAACUUCGUUCCAGCAGCCGCGGUAAUACGAAGGGGGCUAGCGUUGUUCGGAUUUACUGGGCGUAAAGCGCACGUAGGCGGACUUUUAAGUCAGGGGUGAAAUCCCGGGGCUCAACCCCGGAACUGCCUUUGAUACUGGAAGUCUUGAGUAUGGUAGAGGUGAGUGGAAUUCCGAGUGUAGAGGUGAAAUUCGUAGAUAUUCGGAGGAACACCAGUGGCGAAGGCGGCUCACUGGACCAUUACUGACGCUGAGGUGCGAAAGCGUGGGGAGCAAACAGG